rnacentral:lncRNA from 10 species
CUCGCCUAUGGAGGAUUACACAACAUAAAGAGAUGAGAAGAAAAGAAGCAUAGAGAAGAGAAAGGAGAAAAAUAACACACAUUGCCAUAUAUUUUUUAAUGCUUUGCCAAUCAACCAAAACCACCUAAGGGAGGGACAACUUACUUACUCCCAGGUGGUUCUUGGCUUUGCUGGAUGAUUAGCUUAAAUGGAAAAGACUGCAGUUCUUGCCCAGGUUCUGUUUGUUCUUGAACCACAUAAAGACUAUAUAGGUCAGCCUAUAUUCUGGGUUUUCUAUUUUAUUUUUGACUGCUUGUUUUGGUUUUUUUGUUUGUUUGUUUUUGUCUUAUUUAUUUUUAACCAAUCAUGUCAUAUGUUUUAGGAAG